GAUGAACGCUAGCUACAGGCUUAACACUGCAAGUCGAGGGGUAGCAGGGCAGCAAUACCGCUGACGACCGGCGCACGGGUGAGUAACACGUAUCCAACCUUCCCAUAACUCGGGGAUAGCCUUUCGAAAGAAAGAUUAAUACCCGAUAGUACUUUAUUAAGGCAUCUUAAGAAAGUUAAAGAUUUAUUGGUUAUGGAUGGGGAUGCGUCCCAUUAGAUAGUUGGUGAGGUAACGGCUCACCAAGUCUUCGAUGGAUAGGGGCUCUGAGAGGAAGGUCCCCCACAUUGGUACUGAGACACGGACCAAACUCCUACGGGAGGCAGCAGUGAGGAAUAUUGGUCAAUGGGCGAGAGCCUGAACCAGCCAAGUAGCGUGAAGGAUGAAGGUCCUAUGGAUUGUAAACUUCUUUUAUAGUAGAAUAAAGUGAACCACGUGUGGUUUUUUGUAUGUAUACUAUGAAUAAGGAUCGGCUAACUCCGUGCCAGCCGCCGCAGUAA
rnacentral:rRNA from 1 species